UAGGGAAUCUUCGGCAAUGGACGAAAGUCUGACCGAGCAACGCCGCGUGAGUGAAGAAGGUUUUCGGAUCGUAAAACUCUGUUGUUAGAGAAGAACAAGGACGUUAGUAACUGAACGUCCCCUGACGGUAUCUAACCAGAAAGCCACGGCUAACUACGUGCCAGCAGCCGCGGUAAUACGUAGGUGGCAAGCGUUGUCCGGAUUUAUUGGGCGUAAAGCGAGCGCAGGCGGUCUGUCAAGUCGGAUGUGAAAUCCCCGGGCUCAACCUGGGAACUGCAUUCGAAACUGGCAGGCUAGAGUCUUGUAGAGGGGGGUGGAAUUCCAGGUGUAGCGGUGAAAUGCGUAGAGAUCUGGAGGAAUACCGGUGGCGAAGGCGGCCCCCUGGACAAAGACUGACGCUCAGGUGCGAAAGCGUGGGGAGCAAACAGG
rnacentral:rRNA from 1 species